rnacentral:lncRNA from 1 species
AAAUAGAUGAGCCACCAGAUCCAAUUCAUUAAUUGACGUGGCAAUGGUACACGGUCUGGACCUGAGGAUACACGGUGGGCUCAAGUCAACAGCGAAGCAUAGUGAAUUAAAACAGGUAAUUAAAAUGGACGCAUGAGAUUAGAUCGUGAGAGGGAGAUCCAAAGGCUGGGAUUAGAACACGUGGUGGUGGUGAUGGAAACCACCAUCUUUUCCGAUCAACCACACAAACUCCGGCCAGAAUUGCAGGAAAAUAGAUC